UGGGGAAUUUUGGACAAUGGGGGAAACCCUGAUCCAGCCAUCCCGCGUGUGCGAUGAAGGCCUUCGGGUUGUAAAGCACUUUUGGCAGGAAAGAAACGUCAUGGGUUAAUACCCCGUGAAACUGACGAUACCUGCAGAAUAAGCACCGGCUAACUACGUGCCAGCAGCCGCGGUAAUACGUAGGGUGCAAGCGUUAAUCGGAAUUACUGGGCGUAAAGCGUGCGCAGGCGGUUCGGAAAGAAAGAUGUGAAAUCCCAGAACUCAACUUUGGAACUGCAUUUUUAACUACCGGUCUAUAGUGUGUCAGAGGGAGCUGGAAUUCCGCGUGUAGCAGUGAAAUGCGUAGAUAUGCGGAGGAACACCGAUGGCGAAGGCAGCCUCCUGGGAUAACACUGACGCUCAUGCACGAAAGCGUGGGGAGCAAACAGG
rnacentral:rRNA from 1 species